rnacentral:lncRNA from 1 species
UGGAGGUUUAUUUGGAGCAAUCCGUCAAGCUUUUACUGGACUUGAUAGACACCGACUCGUUAUCCUUCCACUACACAGAGCGGGAGCUGUUUACUGCUCUAUGAAGCCAGCCUCGUGCGAUCCGCCCCACUUUAGGAAUCAAGAAGCCCAUACUUACAUUUGGGCCUCAUUAUCCAACACUGUGCUUGGAUAGGGCAGGCCAGAAAUAAGCCCAUCAAGCCCAACCAUUUGGUUAAGCCCAAUAUUCUACCACCUUAAUGCCGGGUUACAAGCCCACGUUACUAAGCUCGACGUGCAACAAAGUGUCAUAGAUUAUUAUAAAUUCAUUAACAUAUGGCGAUGUGGGAAAAAUUAUAAAUUCCAUGAGAGGCAAUAAAGAGAGUUAUAUUUAGUUUAAUGUUGCACCAUUUCUUACUUUAUUUUCAUUUUGUACGAAUUGUACGUUUCAUAUAAUUGCUUAUUUCUUGUAUUUUGCUUUCAUACUUAAAUUUUGUGAUGUUAUACUUGAGUUGAGGGCUUAUUGGAAAGAGGUUUUUUGUCCUCACUAAGUAAAGAUUAGAUUGCGUACACAUUAAUAUUAUCAAACUUCACUUGUGAAAUUACAUUGAGUGUGUCGUUGUUGUAUUUUAUCUUGUACGACAAUGGCAUGAGUUGAGUUUAAUGAAGUGACGAGAAUUCAUAUAGCCGAUCCCAACUUAUUUAAAAUUGAGGGACCAAAUUCCGUUAAUAUUUCCCAUGUUAAAUUCGUGUUUUGAAUCAUUUCUUGCUUCGUUGUAGAAAGAAGAAAACUUAUAUAUUUGUUUUGUGAUUUUGAGACAUAAGAAAACUUAUAUAUUUGUUUUGUGAUUUUGAGGCAUAAGAUCUAAUAAUAUUAACUUCUUUUAAAUGACAAUACUUUUGUUGUGCUUCAUGAUUUACAUCCCAACAACCUAUGUGGUUUGAAUGAGUCAUUUUCUUCGUUCUUAAUCAAAGAUCUCAAAUUUGAAUCACAUGUAUAAAGAAUUCAAAUUAUCAAUCUUUUUACAAGGAUUUCGUACUCAAUAUAUAUAUAUAUAUGUGUGUGUGUGUGCAUAAAAUAACGGAAUAAGUAAGAACUUACAAUAUAAUUUUCGAUUGCACUGAUGAAAAUAUUGUGUGAAAAUCCUGAUUAGGCUGUAUAAAGAAUUCAAAUUAUCAACCUUUUUACAAGGAUUUCGUAUUCAAUAUAUAUAUAUAUAUAUAUGCAUAAAAUAACGGAAUAAUUAAGAACUUACAAUAUAAUUUUCGAUUGCACUGAUGAAAAUAUUGUGUGAAAAUCCUGAUUAGGCUGUAUAAAGAAUUCAAAUUAUCAACCUUUUUACAAAGAUUUCGUACUCAAUAUAUAUGCAUAAAAUAACGGAAUACUUAAGAACUUACAAUAUAAUUUUCGAUUGCACUGAUGAAAAUAUUGUGUGAAAAUCCUAAUUAGGCAAAAAAAGAUUUCGUACUCAAUAUAUAUGCAUAAAAUAACGGAAUACUUAAAAACUUACAAUAUAAUUUUCGAUUGCACUGAUGAAAAUAUUGUGUGAAAAUCCUAAUUAGGCAAAAAAAAGGUGGUUGUUUAUUGGAGCAACCCAUUAGGCGUUACUGAACUUGAUAAGACACCGACCCAUUAUCCUUCCACUGCACAGAGCGGGAGCUGUUCACUGCUCUGUGAAGCCAGCCUCAUGCGGUCCGCCCCGCUUUAGGAAUCAAGAAGCCCAUAUUUUCAUUUGGGCCUCGUGAUCCUACUCUGUGCUUGGACAGGGCAGGCCAGAACUAAGCCCACCAAGCCCAACCUUCUGGUAAAGCCCAAUAUUCAACCACUUUGAUGUCUCCACUUGGAUUACAAGCCCACGUUACUAAGCUCAACAUACA